UAAAAACCAUUUCACUGUUACAAAACAAAACAAAACAAAAAUUUAAAUAAAUUAAUUGGCAAUUUUUUUUUUGUCUUUCUUGAUCUACCUCAUCCCUAGCUCACCCCACACGAUGCACCUAUCCAUUUCAACCCAGCCAUGAAGCUGUGUGGUCUUGACUUCUACAAAGUAGAGAGAUUAUUACCAUAUGUAGGAAGAUACUCACAAAGAGAUUUUCAUGCUCUUUAGAAUGAAGAAAUACAUCAUAAUUGUUUAAAUAAAAAUAAAAUCAAGGAUACAGACUAUUUGGGGGAUGAGAAGGAAUUGAAAAUAUGCUCGUUCAAGCAAUCCUCAAGUGGCUACCAGAUACUGUUACAGAUGCUUAAGGAGUUGACAACCAUGCAUAUGAUCACCAUCAGGGAGCUAAGAAAUUCACAUGGCUCUAGUGAAUUCUAGUCAUUAACAAGGACUGGACAACCUCUAUCCUAUUGCAGGAAGCAACUCCUGGAUGCACAGCAAUCAGAGCAAACACAACAGAGAACAAGUUACUUCAAGAGUAUUAAAUUAUAUGUUGUCAUUCAAAACAAUCGUAGACAUUUAAAAGGAAAGCUGUGUGUCAGGCAAGAAACAUAUUGGACUUUUUUUUUUUUCUUUUCAAGCAUCACUUACUGCUUAUUAGCCACAAAAUGUUGAAACAGUUUGAGAUAUAUUGUAAUUAAACUGAUGCAGUGCCU
rnacentral:lncRNA from 1 species